UCCCGGAUGGCUUAGUGGUCAGAGCAUCUGCCUAAUGAGCAAGAGACCCAGGUUCGAAUCCUGAUCCGGCAU